CCUACGAGUGGCAGCAGUGAGGAAUAUUGGUCAAUGGGCGGAAGCCUGAACCAGCCAAGUCGCGUGAGGGAAUAAGGCCCUACGGGUCGUAAACCUCUUUUGCCGGGGAGCAAGGGCGGGGACGUGUCCCGGCCCGGAGAGUACCCGGAGAAAAAGCAUCGGCUAACUCCGUGCCAGCAGCCGCGGUAAUACGGAGGAUGCGAUCGUUAUCCGGAUUGAUUGGGUUUAAAGGGUGCGUAGGCGGGCUUUUAAGUCAGCGGUAAAAAGUCGGGGCUCAACCCCGUCCGGCCGUUGAAACUGGGGGCCUUGAGUGGGCGAGAAGAAGGCGGAAUGCGUGGUGUAGCGGGGAGAUGCAUAGAUAUCACGCAGAACCCCGAUUGCGAAGGCAGCCUUCCGGCGCCCUACUGACGCUGAGGCACGAAAGUGCGGGGAUCGAACAGGAUUAGAUACCCGUGUAGUC
rnacentral:rRNA from 1 species